rnacentral:rRNA from 1 species
GACGAACGCUGGCGGCGUGCUUAACACAUGCAAGUCGUACGGUAAGGCCCUUUCUGGGGUACACGAGUGGCGCACGGGUGAGUAACACGCGAGUAACCUGCCCACAACUUUGGGAUAACGCUAGGAAACUGGUGCUAAUACUGGAUAUGUUCUCCUGCUGCAUGGUGGGGGUUGGAAAGCUCCGGCGGUUGUGGAUGGACUCGCGGCCUAUCAGCUUGUUGGUGGGGUAGUGGCCUACCAAGGCGGCGACGGGUAGCCGGCCUGAGAGGGUGACCGGCCACAUUGGGACUGAGGUACGGCCCAGGCGCCUACGGGAGGCAGAAGGGGGGAAUAUUGCACAAUGGGCGCAAGCCUGAUGCAGCAACGCCGCGUGCGGGAUGACGGCCUUCGGGUUGUAAACCGCUUUCAGCAGGGAAGAAGCUUUUUGUGACGGUACCUGCAGAAGAAGCACCGGCUAACUACGUG